rnacentral:rRNA from 1 species
UACGUAGGGACCAAGCGUUGUUCGGAUUUACUGGGCGUAAAGGGCGCGUAGGCGGCGUGUCAAGUCAAUUGUGAAAUCUCCGGGCUUAACUCGGAACGGUUAAUUGAUACUGAUGUGCUAGAGUGCAGAAGGGGCAAUCGGAAUUCUUGGUGUAGCGGUGAAAUGCGUAGAUAUCAAGAGGAACACCUGAGGUGAAGACGGGUUGCUGGGCUGACACUGACGCUGAGGCGCGAAAGCUAGGGUAGCAAACGGG